rnacentral:rRNA from 1 species
UACGUAGGGGGCUAGCGUUGUUCGGAUUCAUUGGGCGUAAAGGGCGCGUAGGCGGCGGGGUCAGUCGGGUGUGAAAUCUUGGGGCUUAACCCCGAAACGGCACUCGAAACUGCCCGGCUGGAGGGCCGGAGAGGAGAUCGGAAUUCACGGUGUAGCAGUGAAAUGCGUAGAGAUCGUGAGGAAGACCCGUGGCGAAGGCGGAUCUCUGGACGGCUAACUGACGCUGAGGCGCGAAGGCCAGGGGAGCAAACGGG